rfam:Dictyostelium discoideum mitochondrial DNA, complete genome.
GAGUGUAUAGCAUAAUGGUAUUGCGUCAGCCUUUUAAGCUGCAUGGUUUGGGUUCGAUUCCCAAUACACUCA